UGACAUGCGCAGAUCAGUCUGUUCACCUCGGGUUUGGAGUGUCCUUUUGUUUUAACUUAACUCCAGUCAUUUUUAUGUUAUAUAAUAUUGAUGCGCAAUGGUUGUCAGGUGCUGCCUCAUCUACAUCUCGACUACUCUACUGUUGAUAGACAUGGUCUCUUUAAAGGUCACAGUUAAGAAUUUUGUUGGAGAAUCUGCCAUCUUGCCGUGUUCAUACACGGAAGAUAAAAAUCAAGUAGACAAAGUGUUUUGGAGACACAAUGACAGUAAGAAGGUGUAUGAGUUUAGUCCAGG